rnacentral:rRNA from 1 species
AGAGUUUGAUCCUGGCUCAGGAUGAACGCUGGCGGCGUGCUUAACACAUGCAAGUCGAACGAAACACCUUAUUUGAUUUUCUUCGGAACUGAAGAUUUGGUGAUUGAGUGGCGGACGGGUGAGUAACGCGUGAGUAACCUACCCUGUACAGGGGGAUAACAGUCAGAAAUGACUGCUAAUACCGCAUAAGACCACAGCACCGCAUGGUGCAGGGGUAAAAACUCCGGUGGUACAGGAUGGACCCGCGUCUGAUUAGCUGGUUGGUGAGGUAACGGCUCACCAAGGCGACGAUCAGUAGCCGGCUUGAGAGAGUGAACGGCCACAUUGGGACUGAGACACGGCCCAAACUCCUACGGGAGGCAGCAGUGGGGAAUAUUGCACAAUGGGGGAAACCCUGAUGCAGCGACGCCGCGUGAGUGAAGAAGUAUCUCGGUAUGUAAAGCUCUAUCAGCAGGGAAGAAAAUGACGGUACCUGACUAAGAAGCCCCGGCUAACUACGUGCCAGCAGCCGCGGUAAUACGUAGGGGGCAAGCGUUAUCCGGAAUUACUGGGUGUAAAGGGUGCGUAGGUGGUAUGGCAAGUCAGAAGUGAAAACCCAGGGCUUAACUCUGGGACUGCUUUUGAAACUGUCAGACUGGAGUGCAGGAGAGGUAAGCGGAAUUCCUAGUGUAGCGGUGAAAUGCGUAGAUAUUAGGAGGAACAUCAGUGGCGAAGGCGGCUUACUGGACUGAAACUGACACUGAGGCACGAAAGCGUGGGGAGCAAACAAAAGUAGAUACCCUGGUAGUCCACGCCGUAAACGA